GGGCGCAAGCCUGAUGCAGCGACGCCGCGUGGGGGAUGAAGGCCUUCGGGUUGUAAACUCCUUUCGCUAUCGACGAAGCCACUUGUGGUGACGGUAGGUAGAUAAGAAGCACCGGCUAACUACGUGCCAGCAGCCGCGGUAAUACGUAGGGUGCAAGCGUUGUCCGGAAUUACUGGGCGUAAAGAGCUCGUAGGUGGUUUGUCGCGUCGUCUGUGAAAUCCCGGGGCUUAACUUCGGGCGUGCAGGCGAUACGGGCAUAACUUGAGUGCUGUAGGGGAGACUGGAAUUCCUGGUGUAGCGGUGAAAUGCGCAGAUAUCAGGAGGAACACCGAUGGCGAAGGCAGGUCUCUGGGCAGUAACUGACGCUGAGGAGCGAAAGCAUGGGUAGCGAACAGGAUUAGAUACCCUGGUAGUCCAUGCCGUAAACGGUGGGCGCUAGGUGUAGGGGGCUUCCACGUCUUCUGUGCCGUAGCUAACGCAUUAAGCGCCCCGCCUGGGGAGUACGGCCGCAAGGCUAAAACUCAAAGGAAUUGACGGGGGCCCGCACAAGCGGCGGAGCAUGUGGAUUAAUUCGAUGCAACGCGAAGAACCUUACCUGGGCUUGACAUGUACCGGAUCGGGCUAGAGAUAGUCUUUCCCUUGUGGUCGGUAUACAGGUGGUGCAUGGUUGUCGUCAGCUCGUGUCGUGAGAUGUUGGGUUAAGUCCCGCAACGAGCGCAACCCUUGUCUUAUGUUGCCAGCACGUUAUGGUGGGAACUCAUGAGAGACUGCCGGGGUUAACUCGGAGGAAGGUGGGGAUGACGUCAAAUCAUCAUGCCCCUUAUGUCCAGGGCUUCACACAUGCUACAAUGGUCGAUACAAUGGGCAGCGACAUCGUGAGGUGAAGCGAAUCCCUGAAAGUCGGCCUUAGUUCGGAUUGGGGUCUGCAACUCGACCCCAUGAAGUCGGAGUCGCUUAGUAAUCUGCUAGUUCAAGUUUUCNGCAUGCAGGAUAGAAAAAUAA
rnacentral:rRNA from 1 species